AUACUGAGGGUGCAAGCGUUAAUCGGAAUUACUGGGCGUAAAGCGAGUGUAGGCGGCUACGUAAGUCGGAUGUGAAAGCCCUGGGCUCAACCUGGGAAUGGCAUUCGAAACUGCGUAGCUAGAGUCUGAGAGAGGGAAGUGGAAUUCCAGGUGUAGCGGUGAAAUGCGUAGAGAUCUGGAGGAACAUCAGUGGCGAAGGCGGCUUCCUGGCUUAAGACUGACGCUGAGGCUCGAAAGCGUGGGGAGCAAACAGGAUUAGAAACCCCAGUAGUCC
rnacentral:rRNA from 1 species